AGAUGAACUUUGCAGGGGAGAUUUCAUGCUCGAGUAUGUGGUCCUCCCAGGCUACCACUGCACUUUGAUAAUGCUGAAUCCUGCAAAUUCAUCAAAUAUGGGAAUCUUGACUGCAUCAUUUCUGGUAGUGGGGGACUGUGUUCGCUCUCUG
ensembl:snRNA U1 U1 spliceosomal RNA